rnacentral:rRNA from 1 species
UACGAAGGGGGCUAGCGUUGCUCGGAAUUACUGGGCGUAAAGCGCACGUAGGCGGAUCUUUAAGUCAGGGGUGAAAUCCUGGAGCUCAACUCCAGAACUGCCUUUGAUACUGAGGACCUUGAGUUCGGGAGAGGUGAGUGGAACUGCGAGUGUAGAGGUGAAAUUCGUAGAUAUUCGCAAGAACACCAGUGGCGAAGGCGGCUCACUGGCCCGAGUACUGACGCUGAGGUGCGAAAGCGUGGGGAG